rnacentral:rRNA from 1 species
UGGGGAAUAUUGCACAAUGGGGGAAACCCUGAUGCAGCGACGCCGCGUGAGCGAAGAAGGCUUUCGAGUCGUAAAGCUCUGUCCUAUGAGAAGAUAAUGACGGUAACAUAGGAGGAAGCCCUGGCUAAAUACGUGCCAGCAGCCGCGGUAAUACGUAUGGGGCGAGCGAUGUCCGGAAUUAUUGGGCGUAAUGGGUACGUAGGCGGGUUUUUAAGUCAGGUGUCAAAGCGUGGAGCUUAACUCCAUUAAGCACUUGAAACUGAAAGACUUGAGUGAAGGAGAGGAAAGUGGAAUUCCUAGCGUAGCGGUGAAAUGCGUAGAUAUUAGGGGGAAAUACCGGUGGCGAAGGCGACUUUCUGGACUUUUGCUGACGCUCAGGUACGAAAGCGUGGGGAGCAAACAGG